rnacentral:rRNA from 1 species
CAUCACCUCCAGCAUGACCAGUAUUGGAGGCACUGCCUGCCCAGUGACAACCGUUAAACGGCCGCGGUAUCCUGACCGUGCAAAGGUAGCAUAAUCACUUGUUCUCUAAAUAGGGACUUGUAUGAAUGGCCACACGAGGGUUUUACUGUCUCUUGCUUCCAAUCAGUGAAAUUGACCUUCCCGUGAAGAGGCGGGAAUACAUUAAUAAGACGAGAAGACCCUAUGGAGCUUUAACUACUUGACCCAAAGAAAUAAAUUUCAUCGCUAAGGAAACAACAACACUCUUCAUGGGCCAACAGCUUUGGUUGGGGUGACCUCGGAGAACAAGAAAUCCUCCGAGCGAUUUUAAAGACUAGACCUACAAGUCGAAUCACACAAUCGUUUAUUGAUCCAAAAAAUUGAUCAACGGAACAAGUUACCCUAGGGAUAACAGCGCAAUCCUAUUCAAGAGUCCAUAUCGACAAUAGGGUUUACGACCUCGAUGUUGGAUCAGGACAUCCCGAUGGUGCAACCGCUAUCAAAGGUUCGUUUGUUCAACGAUUAAAGUCCUACGUGAUCUGAGUUCAAACCGGAGAAG